AUGGACGGAGCUGAUGGAUCCGAGAAGCCCGCCGGUGAAGAGAGUGGACGCAUUGGAUCUGAUCAGCCCGCCGGUGACGAGAAUCAAAGCAUCACCAUUUCCCUUGAUCACUGCAGCCGCAUGAUGGAAGUUAUUGGGAGGAUCGACCAUUUGAUGACCACAAUUGAGAUGCAUGGCAGACUAAUUUCUUUGAUCCGGCGACAACUGGACGAAGGUCGACGCGGUACUGGUUUCGCGCCUAGGCGGUGCAUGGCUUGUGGCGUGACGGGCCACAAUAGGAGUACCUGUGGACGUGCUUCUCGUUAG
rnacentral:rRNA from 1 species